rnacentral:misc_RNA from 1 species
UCCGAGUUAACCCCGGCAGUCUCCCGCGAGUCCCCAACACCACUUGCUGGCAACACGGGAUAAGGGUUGCGCUCGUUGCGGGACUUAACCCAACAUCUCACGACACGAGCUGACGACAGCCAUGCACCACCUGUCACCCAGUCCGAAGAGGGCCUUGUCUCCAAGGCUUUCCGGGUGAUGUCAAACCCAGGUAAGGUUCUUCGCGUUGCAUCGAAUUAAUCCGCAUGCUCCGCCGCUUGUGCGGGCCCCCGUCAAUUCCUUUGAGUUUCGGUCUUGCGACCGUACUCCCCAGGCGGAGUGUUUCACGCGUUAGCUGGGCCCCUGAUCCACGUAGACCAAGGGCGAACACUCGGAGGAAGGUGGGGAUGACGUUUCCUUCCAUCACA